AUUGGUGCCCAUAGCGCUGGGGAAAUACCUGUUUACAUUCCGAACACAGAAGUCAAGCCCAGUAGCGGCGAUUAUACUGCAGUAUGCGGGAAACUAGCAAGGUGCCAAGU
rnacentral:rRNA from 1 species